UCAGGCCUACUUAUCAACAUCUUUAGACAAGUCUAACAAUAUUGAAAAUAUUCCCAACUCAGAACUUUUGGAUUUAGUUUUGAACACAAUUUAUGGCACGAAGCAAAAGAUCUCCAACAUAUUCUGAAGUAAAGCAAGAAACAGCAAAAGUGCUUAAACUUUAUAGUGACCCAGUUGAAACAACUUUCUCCAAAGAAAACUUCAUAAGUAGGAUGUACUAUGUUUCUAAUAUUCAAAGAAAUAUCCUUCAAGCACAUAGCUCAUCUGUUAUAUUGGUCUGCCAUCUGUAGGUCACUGAGAAAAUUCUUAGUUCCUGGCAUUUCCGAGUGCUUUGUUCAUUACUCCGUGGUUUUGAGUGGAUAGUAAUUAGAAGUAUUACCAUCAGUAUUACCCUUUAAACAUCAUACACAGCUGAUCUUCAAAUCAUUCCACACAUGGGAUCAUCACGAGAGACUUAACGCUUCCCCACCCAAGAAAUCUCACAAUCCACAUGCACAGUUGGUCUGUUAUCCUCAACUCUAAGGGCAUCCUGGGAUUAUUAAGAUUUAAGCUGAAGCCUCAGGAAUGGCCAUUUAUAGCUGGGUAAUACCAGCUUUUCAGCCCUAUGUCUUUAGGCAUAUUAUCUCCCCUAUGCCAUAUUGUAACUAUAUUAUGCAUGUGUGCGUAUGUAUACACACACACAUAUAUAAAAACAUACGUAUGCACAUACACAUUCUUUCAUCCCAUGCAAUUUCUCUGGAGGUUUCUUCCGAGUGUCACACUAGCACUGUUCUCCAUGGAUGCCGCAUAAACAUGAUCUAUCAGCCUUGAGAUGUAAAACUCUCUUUCUGUUCUGCAUGUCCUCAGCCAACCUCAGCUGCAAUUAGUUGUGAGCACUUGGAUUCUGCAGUGAACAGGAACUGCUGUGUCUGCAUGUCAUGCUCACAGAUGUCAUUUAGACUGCUCAGUAGGAACAAGUGUUCUCUUAGAGAUUACUCCCUUCCUAUCUGUUAUGAUAAAAAUAAAAUAAAAUAACUCCAGAGUAGUUGAGAAAAGGUACAGAUAAAGGGCUCAGUGCCAGCAUCUCAGAGAUUUGGGCAGGUUAUCUGGCACAUUUCAGGGUGAAAAUUAAGUUACAGUCCAUUGGCAUUGUUGUGUACCACACCAGCACAGAUACACAUAAAUUCUGCUUCAAUACACAUGUUCUUCUACUGCGGUGACACUUGGAGACACUUUCUUUCUAUAUUUCAGAGCAUUUAUGGAACUAAAGGCAAAGGUGUUUUCAGGUUUAUAAAUCAGUUAAGAUGUUCAUGCAGUAUAGAUUUGUCCAUUGGUGAGAUUAAGUAUUUGUGACCACAGUUCCCAUGCUUAGCUAAGUACAGAUAUGAAACUGUAUACAGUUUCUAUCUGUGAAAUCAGAGAUUCCUAACAAGUCUCUGAUACUGCUUAAGUGACAGAGGUGUUCUUUUUAUUCCAAUAAUUUCAGACCACUGAAAUCUAUGCCACACAGUCUUGCCAAGUUUUGUACAGAAAAGAACAUCUGCGCUGCCCCAUAUCUAUUGAUCUGUCUGGAGAAAUAACUUAGCUAGUUCUGAACAAACAGCUGGAGACCUAGAAGUAGCCAAGAGGUCCCUGCUUAGACCAGUUUUGGUGGGACUAUGCUGCAUCCAGAUUUCUGGCUCCUACCACUGUUUAAACCUGUUUUGCACAGCGUUAGCUGACGUAUGCACAUUCACUUGGAGCAGCUGAUAUUUUUAACAGGCAGAUUUUUUUUUUUUUUUACAUUGUAAACAUGCACAAAGAGACAGUAAAAGCAUGGCUAGUGUAUGUGCUCAACCCAGGCAGACCCUGUGCCUAAGUCUGAAAGAUGUUAAGUUAAUUAUCACAAAAGAGCACAGAGGAAAAACAAACAAACAAAUCUCAACCAAAUGACAUCGUCUAUGAUCCCCAUAUGUAUCAUUCCUUUUCAUGCAAUUGAUUGGUUUUUUUUUUUUUUUCUGAAACAUAACUGUAUACUGCUGAGAAUAUAGACCCUCACCUGUUAUCCCAGCCUUUCUUGUCCACAAUUUAAAGGUGAAAUAUCUAGUCAAAUCUUUUACUUCAAAGUAAAUUAUAACAUUUUUCUGUCUGAAAUCUGUAUAUGCCAUACUACUGAUUUAUCUAAAAGUCAACCCAAAACCUUACCAAGGUUAAUUUAACUGAUAUUAGCUCAGUUCUGCCUUGGAUGGCAGCAGAGCUGGAACUUCACCUGAUUGUUAAAAGAGCACAAGAGGAGGCUUCCUACACUACCAAAAUCCAGAGCAGCACCCUAGAGGAAGAACAAUGAUGUCAAGAUUCUUGCAGGCAUCCUGAAGUGAAACUGCAAGGUAUUAUCACCAUCAUUAGCAGAAGCAAAUGCAGACAGCCUGCACCUACCCAAUAUGCUUCCUCAGCGUUUAAAGGCACCUUGGGCUUAUUAUUUCUCAAAAAAAUUAUGCCUAUCAUUUCCCAAUCCCAUGUGAGCAUCUUAGCAGUAAGAUGGACUUAACUCCAAGCUAAUUUAGAAAAGUCUUUCUAUGGACAUGGUUUCACAGAAUGUUAGGGAUUGAAAGGGACCUCAAAAGAUCAUCUAGUCCAAUCCCCCUGCUGGAGCAGGAACACCUAGGUGAGGUUACACAGGAACGUGUCCAGGUGGGGUUUGAAUGUCUCCAGAGAAGGAGAUUCCACAACCUCCCUGGGCAGCCUGUUCCAGUGCUCUAUCACCCUCACCUUGAAGAAGUUUCUUCUCAAAUUUACAUGGAACCUCCUGUGUUCCAGUUUAUACCCAUUGCCCCGUAGAUGGUAAGUCAGAUCAAAGAUCCAAGUAUCCUCUUUCAGAUGGGUUUCCAAAAAGUUUUUUCACUUAAACACAGAACUGAUACUUCUGAACCCUGAAUUAUCAGCAUCCUGUAUGUGGUCAUAGGGUCUACAGGCACUUACUAGACCAGAUUUUUUGUUACAUGUGUUAAGGUUUUUGUUGUGUUUUCUCCUCCUAUGCAGUCCUAAAGAUACCUUUUCAGAACUUGCUUGUGUUCCUGCUGAUUUCCAGCCUCCACACUCUCCUUUGGGAGAGAAUUCUACAAUGCAACUGCUGUGGAUACAGAAACAUCUUCUUUUGUUCAUUAAAAAACAAACACACACACACACACACACACACACGCACACAAAAACCCCUCCUUUCCUUCCACCACCCAAUCCCCUCAAAAAAAAAACCCAAAUCCAACACCUAAAAAACCCCAGACAAAAACAAAACAAACAAAAAACCAAAGCAUCAACUCAAAAUCCCUUGUCACCUGAUGUCUGCUGGACCUUGCACUGGAUGACUACACUGUGCAGGCAAUUGAGAACUUUGGUCCAGACCGCCAGACAAGUUUUUUUAAUCUAAUCCUAAAAUGCCUCAGGAACAAAGUGUGCUGUAUGCCUCUCUGUUGCUUCAAAACACAUAAGGCUAAAGCCAAAAUACAAAUUUAGCCUUUAUGUUGAGAAAUGUUAAAUCCAGAGGAGGAUUUCCUAUUGUGCAGUCCACAGCUGCAGGCUCAAGCAACCCACAACGAGACACAGCAUGUGUGCAGUCUGUGCACUCCAGCAGGAACCCAUCUCAUGUCCUAGCCAGUGAAAAAAAUUCCUGGCUAUCCCAUAACUACCACAUGAUUGUAUCUGUCACAAAUACCAUGCCACGCAAGAGAAAAAUCAGGGGCUAGAAACUUGAACUAUCAUUCGGAAGUUGAGAAAGCAAGAUCUGAUUUCACUCAUUUGAGCUGUGGUGGAGAAGAAAUUAGGCUACAAAACUCUCAGCUCCAAGACCCUUCCAUGGGAAAGCAAAGAACAAAACUUUGUCCAAGGAGAUAAAGAAGGAGCUGGCUGCUUCCCACAGCAUCCAGCUCUGCAUGAUAUCUGCAUUCUGCUACUGGAGAAAUUUUUGCAUCAAGGAAAGCAAAGCCAACUGACAUACCGUUAAGAUGACAUUCCUGUAAAAUCUGUCUUGCCCAACAGUUGUUCCCAGUAUGAAUAUUGCCAAUAUUUAAAUAAAAGUAACAUUAA